CGCCUUGCCAGCCCGCUCAGAAACUUAAAGGAAUUGACGGGGGCCCGCACAAGCGGAGGAACAUGUGGUUUAAUUCGAUGAUACGCGAGGAACCUUACCUGGGCUAGAACGCAUUCGGAAUCAGGCCGAAAGGUCUGCGCCAGCGAUGGCCGGUUGCGAGGUGCUGCAUGGUUGUCGUCAGCUCGUGCCGUGAGGUGUCGGGUUAAGUCCCAUAACGAGCGCAACCCCUACUGCUAGUUGCCAGCGGGUCAUGCCGGGGACUCUAGCGGAACUGCCAGCGUAAGCUGCGAGGAAGGUGGGGAUGACGUCAAAUCAGCACGGCCCUUACGUCCAGGGCUACACACGUGUUACAAUGGCCAGUACAGAGGGCAGCCACCCCGCGAGGGGGCGCUAAUCCUAAAAGCUGGUCCCAGUUCGGAUCGGAGUCUGCAACCCGACUCCGUGAAGCUGGAUUCGCUAGUAAUCGCGCAUCAGCCAUGGCGCGGUGAAUACGUUCCCGGGCCUU
rnacentral:rRNA from 1 species